GAUGAACGCUGGCGGCGUGCCUAAUACAUGCAAGUCGAGCGAACAGACGAGGAGCUUGCUCCUCUGACGUUAGCGGCGGACGGGUGAGUAACACGUGGAUAACCUACCUAUAAGACUGGGAUAACUUCGGGAAACCGGAGCUAAUACCGGAUAAUAUAUUGAACCGCAUGGUUCAAUAGUGAAAGACGGUUUUGCUGUCACUUAUAGAUGGAUCCGCGCCGCAUUAGCUAGUUGGUAAGGUAACGGCUUACCAAGGCAACGAUGCGUAGCCGACCUGAGAGGGUGAUCGGCCACAAUGGAACUGAGACACGGUCCAGACUCCUACGGGAGGCAGAAGUAGGGAAUCUUCCGCAAUGGGCGAAAGCCUGACGGAGCAACGCCGCGUGAGUGAUGAAGGUCUUCGGAUCGUAAAACUCUGUUAUUAGGGAAGAACAAAUGUGUAAGUAACUAUGCACGUCUUGACGGUACCUAAUCAGAAAGCCACGGCUAACUACGUG
rnacentral:rRNA from 1 species